rnacentral:rRNA from 1 species
UACAGGGGGUGCAAACGUUGCUCGGAAUCAUUGGGCGUAAAGCGCACGUAGGCGGUUCGUUAUGUCGGAUGUGAAAGCCCUUGGCUUAACCGAGGAAGUGCAUCCGAAACUGGCGAGCUAGAGUACUAAAGAGGAUCGCGGAAUUCCCGGUGUAGAGGUGAAAUUCGUAGAUAUCGGGAGGAACACCAGCGGCGAAGGCGGCAAACUGGAUAGGCACUGACACUCAACAACGAAAGCGUGGGGAGUAAACAGG